rnacentral:rRNA from 1 species
GAUGAACGCUAGCGGCAGGCUUAAUACAUGCAAGUCGUGGGGCAGCAGGUUUGUAGCAAUACAGAUGCUGGCGACCGGCAAACGGGUGCGGAACACGUACAGAACCUUCCUUUGAGCGGGGAAUAGCCCAGAGAAAUUUGGAUUAAUACCCCAUAGUAUAAUGAAGUGGCAUCACUUUAUUAUUAAAGAUUUAUCACUCGAAGAUGGCUGUGCGGCUGAUUAGGUAGUUGGCGGGGUAAAGGCCCACCAAGCCUGCGAUCAGUAACUGGUGUGAGAGCACGACCAGUCACACGGGCACUGAGACACGGGCCCGACUCCUACGGGAGGCAGCAGUAAGGAAUAUUGGUCAAUGGAGGCAACUCUGAACCAGCCAUGCCGCGUGGAGGAUGAAGGUCCUCUGGAUUGUAAGCUUCUUUUAUAUGGGACGAAAAAAGGCUUUUCUAAGUCGUCUGACGGUACCAUAUGAAUAAGCACCGGCUAACUCCGUG